GGGGAUGACGUCAAGUCAUCAUGGCCCUUACGACCAGGGCUACACACGUGCUACAAUGGCAUAUACAAAGAGAAGCGACCUCGCGAGAGCAAGCGGACCUCAUAAAGUAUGUCGUAGUCCGGAUUGGAGUCUGCAACUCGACUCCAUGAAGUCGGAAUCGCUAGUAAUCGUAGAUCAGAAUGCUACGGUGAAUACGUUCCCGGGCCUUGUACACACCGCCCGUCACACCAUGGGAGUGGGUUGCAAAAGAAGUAGGUAGCUUAACCUUCGGGAGGGCGCUUACCACUUUGUGAUUCAUGACUGGGGUGAAGUCGUAACAAGGUAACCGUAGGGGAACCUGCGGUUGGAUCACCUCCUUACCUUAAAGAA
rnacentral:rRNA from 1 species